rnacentral:rRNA from 1 species
UUGGAGGGCAAGUCUGGUGCCAGCAGCCGCGGUAAUUCCAGCUCCAAUAGCGUAUAUUAAAGUUGUUGCAGUUAAAAAGCUCGUAGUUGAAUUUCGGAGUUUGUCGGUUGGUCGGGCUUCAUUGUCCGCACUGGCCUGAUGGAUUCCUACCUUCUGAAUAACCAGCAUGCUAUUAAGUUAGUGCGUUGGGGAAGCAGAGCUAUUACCUUGAAAAAAUUAGAGUGCUUAAAGCAGGCUUAUGCUUGAAUAGAUUAGCAUGGAAUAAUAAAAUAGGACGGCAUGGUUCUAUUUUGUUGGUUUCUAGGAUCACCGUAAUGAUUAAUAGGGAUAGUUGGGGGCAUUAGUAUUCAAUUGUCAGAGGUGAAAUUCUUGGAUUUAUUGAAGACUAACUUCUGCGAAAGCAUUUGCCAAGGAUGUUUUCAUUAAUCAAGAACGAAAGUUAGGGGAUCGAAGACGAUCAGAUACCGUCGUAGUCUUAACCAUAAACUAUGCCGACUAGGGAUCGGACGAUGUUAAUUUUUUAAUGACUCGUUCGGCGCCUUACGGAAAC